rnacentral:rRNA from 1 species
GACGAACGCUGGCGGCGUGCUUAACACAUGCAAGUCGAACGGUGAAGCGCCUUCCUUUUUGGUGGGUGUGGAUGAGUGGCGAACGGGUGAGUAACACGUGAGUAACCUGCCACCUUCUUCUGGAUAACCGCAUGCAAGUGUGGCUAAUACAGGAUAUUCUGGGUCUGUCGCAUGAUGGGUCUGGGACGGAUUUUGUUUCGGUGGGGGAUGGGCUCGCGGCGCAUUAGCUUGUUGGUGGGGUGAUGGCCUACCAAGGCGGCGAUGAGUAGCCGCCCUGAGAGGAGGGUGGACGGCCAUAGUAGGAAGAAGAGACCGCGCAGACUCCGGGGGGCGGCAGCAGGGGGUAAUACUGCACGGUGGGCGGCAGGAUGGUGCAGCGACGCGUGGGGGGUGAUGGUGUUCGGCGGGUUGUGAACCGCUAUCGGCAGUGAAGCAGGGCGGACUCGAUUGUGGGUGGGUUGACGGUAGCUGGACAAAAAGCGCCGGCUAACUACGUG